CCCGCGAGGAACCCUGCGUGAGACGGAGUCGCCCGCGACGAGACUCAGACUGGGCGGGCGCCCCCCAUCCCUCUCUGGCCGCCGCGCUGCCUCACUCAAGGGAGGGGAAGAGGGGGCGGUGGCUUUUGCCUCCGCCUCGCGGUCAAGUCCGGCUCAUGCUCCAGCCUUGCGCGCGCGCACGCAGCCCGGGCCGCCCUCUUCCCCUCCCCCGCCGCCGGCUCAGCCGCUGGCGUGCCGGCCGCUGCCACCUCUGUCCUCGAGCCGCCGCCACCAACCCCAGACAGCCCGCAGCCCCAGCGGGAAGCAGCAGGAACGGCAGCAGCUCGCCCGUCGACCCGGAAGCUCUUCCGCCGCCAACUGCGACGCUGCAAGGGGUGUAAACCCGGAAGUGAUUUCCUCGCCCCGGUAGCGGCGGGAUGGAAAGGAAAAGCGUUUGAAGACCUGGAAACCCUUAACUUCGGGGGAGGGUGAUAUCGUGCCGAGGUGCGAGAAGAGGGAAGGACAAUAAAGAAUUAGUCCACAAGAGUUGCUCCGAGUCCAGAGACCCGAGCUUUUAAGGCGCGUUUUGGGAAGAGCGGCCGAACACGCCCGGAGACUUCUGGUGGCCACCAAGGGUUUUCCUGUCACAGGAAGUUAGGCCCGGCUGCUGGGAAACAGAAGGGAAGGAGGAAUGAGAAAGCGGUGACGGCACCCCGCCCCGCAGGUGACUGUCCCACCCAGUGAGUUGAAUGUAGCGGCCCGGGAGGUGCUCGGCCGCCCUCGCGGGUGAGACGAGGAGGAGCGAGGACCAGACUCCAGCGAGAGAAAACAGAGGUGGGAGGCUGAACUAUCUCCACAUCUAGUUUCUCCAGGUCCAAAAGGCAGAUUCUUAUGCAGUUUAGACAUACAAAAAGGAUUUCUGUUUGUUUUUUAAAGCAAUGGGAAAUCCAGAAAACAUAGAAGAUGCAUAUGUUGCUGUUAUUCGUCCAAAGAAUACUGCCAGUCUCAAUUCUCGGGAAUACAGAGCUAAGUCAUAUGAAAUUUUAUUGCAUGAAGUUCCCAUUGAAGGACAGAAAAAAAAGAGAAAGAAAGUUUUGUUGGAAACUAAACUUCAGGGCAACAGUGAAAUAACACAAGGCAUACUGGAUUAUGUAGUAGAAACCACCAAACCAAUUUCUCCUGCAAACCAGGGUAUUAGAGGAAAGCGAGUGGUACUAAUGAAGACAUUUCCUCUGGAUGGGGAGAAGACGGGGAGAGAAGCAGCAUUAUUUAUUGUUCCAUCAGUUGUCAAAGAUAAUACUAAAUAUACGUAUACUCCAGGAUGCCCAAUUUUUUACUGCUUACAAGAUAUUAUGCGAGUCUGUAGUGAAUCCAGUACUCAUUUUGCUACACUUACAGCAAGGAUGUUAAUAGCCUUGGAUAAGUGGUUAGAUGAACGUCAUGCACAAUCUCACUUUAUUCCAGCUUUAUUCCGACCUUCUCCUCUUGAGCGGAUAAAAACUAAUGUUAUAAACCCUGCAUAUGCUACUGAAUCAGGUCAGACAGAAAACUCACUACAUAUGGGCUACAGUGCACUAGAAAUAAAGAGUAGAAUGUUAGCCCUAGAGAAAGCAGAUACUUGUAUUUACAACCCUUUGUUUGGAUCAGACCUUCAAUAUACAAACCGGGUAGAUAAAGUGGUAAUAAAUCCAUACUUUGGUCUAGGAGCUCCAGACUACUCAAAAAUCCAAAUUCCCAAACAGGAAAAAUGGCAGAGAAGCAUGAGCAGUGUCACAGAAGACAAGGAACGACAGUGGGUAGAUGACUUUCCUCUCCAUCGAAGUGCCUGUGAAGGAGAUUCAGAAUUACUAAACCGUCUUCUCAAUGAAAGAUUUUCUGUCAAUCAAUUAGAUAGUGACCACUGGGCGCCCAUUCAUUAUGCAUGCUGGUAUGGAAAAGUUGAGGCCACUCGCAUUUUGUUAGAAAAAGGAAAGUGCAAUCCAAAUCUUUUAAAUGGACAGCUUAGUUCUCCUCUUCAUUUUGCUGCUGGAGGAGGACAUGCUGAAAUAGUACAGAUUCUUCUAAACCAUCCAGAAGUUGACAGACACAUAACAGACCAACAAGGAAGAUCCCCUUUAAAUAUCUGUGAAGAAAACAAACAAAAUAACUGGGAAGAAGCUGCAAAGCUAUUGAAGGAAGCCAUUAACAAACCAUACGAAAAAGUUCGAAUAUACAGAAUGGAUGGAUCAUACCGUUCUGUUGAACUGAAGCAUGGAAAUAAUACCACAGUGCAGCAGAUUAUGGAAGGAAUGCGUCUCUCUCAAGAAACACAGCAGUAUUUCACUAUUUGGAUCUGUUCAGAAAACCUCAGCCUUCAACUCAAGCCUUAUCAUAAACCCUUGCAACAUGUUCGUGAUUGGCCAGAAAUACUUUCUGAAUUGACUAAUUUGGAUCCCCAAAGGGAAACACCACAGCUUUUCCUAAGAAGAGAUGUGAGACUUCCUUUGGAAGUUGAAAAAAAGAUUGAAGACCCGCUAGCUAUUCUUAUUCUCUUUGAUGAAGCCAGAUAUAAUUUAUUGAAGGGCUUUUAUACAGCUCCUGAUGCUAAACUGAUAACAUUGGCAAGUCUACUGUUGCAAAUAGUUUAUGGAAAUUAUGAGAGUAAGAAACACAAGCAAGGUUUCCUAAAUGAAGAAAAUUUAAAAUCCAUUGUACCUGUUACCAAACUCAAAAGUAAAGCACCUCACUGGACAAACCGAAUACUUCAUGAAUACAAGAAUCUUAGUACAAGUGAGGGUGUCAGUAAAGAAAUGCAUCACCUUCAGCGCAUGUUCUUACAGAAUUGUUGGGAAAUUCCUACAUAUGGAGCAGCUUUUUUCACAGGACAGAUAUUUACAAAGGCAAGCCCCAGCAAUCAUAAAGUCAUCCCUGUGUAUGUAGGAGUGAAUAUAAAAGGACUUCAUCUCCUCAACAUGGAAACUAAGGCUUUACUCAUCAGUCUUAAGUAUGGUUGUUUUAUGUGGCAGUUGGGAGAUGCUGAUACAUGUUUUCAGAUCCAUAGUAUGGAAAAUAAAAUGAGCUUUAUAGUACACACAAAACAGGAAAACCUUUGAUAACUUAUGAAAUUAAGAUAUUUAAGACCAAGAGAAAAAAACGUAGGCCUUGCCUAAGCAAAUAACCUGAAACUUAUCUGAGCUGGCCUUGUGGUAAAACUAUUAAUGAAGCUAAAUGGACAGUUAAUGCCGACUGAAAGAAAUUCAUGAGUGGAAAGCAGCUGAUACUUAAGCCACCACAUUUUGUAAUGCAGUUUUUUUUUCCAUGAAAGAUUUCUUAAACUAUUACUUGUUUAAGUCUCUUGUAAUAUAUAUGUAUACUAUUACAUUGUACAGAAUCUGUACUUCUGUUUGGUGUGUAAUAUACCAGUUAGUUUUAUAUAAUAUCAUCAUAAGCUAUUCUAACUUUUGAGAGAAACAUGCAGAAAAGUGUAGAUUGAUCAUCUGUAUAUUAAUGGACAAAACAGUAAGCUUUAUAAAAAGUUAUUUUUGGUAAAUGGUAAAGAAUUUGGAGUGGAAUGUAAUGAAAUUAAAAUAGGUUUGGUAUAACUUUGUGUGUCAUUUCAAAAUAUACUGAAAGUCAACAAAGUUGAAUAAAUAUAUUUUCUACUUAAACUACA